rnacentral:lncRNA from 13 species
CUUCUCUGGGUGUACAGUAUCAAUUCCACUUUAAAAACAAAGGAGCCCCAUAAAUUGUGCUGUUGGUCUCCAAGUUCUUCAGGUUCAGCCCUGUGUGUUCCCAAAGCCCCUUUCCCUGUGGCACCAAGAGGUGGUAAGUAAAGUCUGGCCAGGGGACAGCUGCAUUUGUCUAUUGUAAGUCUCUUAGCUGUAGCCAUGGUCACCUCUAAACAUGUAUGUCUUCUUGACUCCACACUCUGCCAUGGAGGAGACCAGGAGCCCACUGCAUGGAAACUAUGCACAUCAUUUCAGCUCUCCUUUUACCUAGGAGUCUUGAGAACCUAGGCUGGGCUGCUGGCUUACCUGGGUUUUGAGCUGACGUUAGCAUUCUGGGGUGGAGUUACUCAUUCUGGGUUUGACUGCUGCACUCUCUUUUGAGAACAUGCUUGUGCUAAAAGGUGUGUGUGUGUGUGUGUGUGUGUGUGUGUGUGUGUGUGUAACGGGGGGGGGGGAGAGAGAGAGAGAGGACUUAUUACAGUCCUCAGAGGACCAAAGAGGCAAAGGGGAAUCAACUACAGAGCUGGGUCCUGUCCAACCCCACACACCUGCUCCCCCGCCAUGCCUGGCCCCCCAGUGCUGAGACAUCUGUUGUCAAGAGAUAAUACCUGAAACCAACAAAGCUGAGAAGUCCCCUUUUACUGGCUCUAUUCUCUCUUGACAGAUUAUAUGGGUUCUUUUCAUAUUUUCAAAGAACCCUCUUGGGGGAUUAGAAAAUUUAAUGUUUAAAUCACUGACGAUGAGAAACAAGCCAAGAAGAGCAUUUUUAAAAAGGGAUAGGAGGCCUGAUUUUGUUCCUGCCUGGGAGCCGCUCACUCCAUCCCAGCACUCAGAGGGGAAGUUUUCUCCUUAGGGAGCUGGCUGGGUGCAGCCUGGAAGUUCUGAAAACACAGAUGUCUCUGCGUUGCUGUGGAAAGACCACAGAGGCUUCUUCUCAAUUCCACAGCAAAGUCAUUCCACUGGAGUUCGUGGCUGACUUCCUUAGAAGAACAGUUCCCGUGAGAGAGGACAGAAUCCUGAGGGAUACGUGGUGGCAGCGAGGUCCUGAGCUGUCCCUAGUUAGCAUCUCCUGCCACAAAUCAGAAACAUGUGACUCAGUCUGGAAUGAGGCUGAUCAAAGCCUUCAUGGAACUAUUCACCCCAGCUAUGGAUGCAAGCACAGGAGUUACAUUCGUGUAUUUGAGAAGAUUAGAAAAAUAGAGAAAAGCAUAGAAAAGAAAGGAAGACUCAUCUUGUCUCCCAUCACCCUGAGUUACAGUGAGGACUUGGUGGGCUGCCUUCUGUACUCUUACCCCUCGUGCCCUCCAGAUCCAUGCCCUGUGCUGCUCUGUGCCUGCAGCCUCAUCAACAGGCCCUGUGUCCUCUUAUAUGGCUGGGUUUGGCCACUUGGAAGGCCUGGCAGAAGGAAGGAGAGGAAAGUCAGUGAAAUUGUUCCCCUGGCACCCUCCCUGCAAGGUCACCUUGCUGCAGAUCACUACUGCUCUCAAGACUCAGGAGCCUAAUGAGACACUGUCUCCUGCCGCACUCUGCAUACUAUCCCUUACUUCCCUCCUGACCCUAAUACUGAUGUGGUAAACAUAAAAGCCUAAACAUUGCAGGGGAGAGCAAAUCAUCUGCAGUCAACUAGAGCACAGCAGCAGCCACUGAUGAAUGAGAGAACAAACUUGCCUUCCUUCUAAGUGUGGGCCUUCCAGUCAUCCACAGGUAUGGAUGCACAGUGGAAAUUUUGUUGGUCGUCGCUUGCUGCAUGGAUGACAGAAUUUGGAGUAGAAAGCUGAAUUAAAGUAUUGAGGUCACACACUACUUUCAGUUCACAAAUUCCAAAUUCAGUCAUCCUUACUGAUUCUCUUAAUAGCUUACUAGUAAGAAGCAACAAAUUUGUCAUAAAAACAACAGUGGAAGGAUUGUGUGGCAUUCACUCAGAAGAGUAGAGGGGAUUUACCUGUUUGGAAAGCAGUUUGCACCCAUCUGGAGAAUUCUUGUAUCCCACCAGUGCUUUGAAGUCUACUUUGAAAGUGACUGUUAAAAUUACUGCAUUGGCAAAAAUUUAUAAGCUACCCUGCCCUGAGAUAGCCAAAGUCCUAGAGAAUUGGGACUCUGUGAUGGAAAAGGCCACUCACCUGAAUCAUGCUUGUUCCCAGUGAGGAGCAACCCUUCAAACGAUGAAGGUCCUUCUGAAGCAUCAGUGUCAGCAUCUGGGACAAUUUUUCUAGAAAGAACUUGCUGUGUGAACUGAAAACACUCGGGGAAAUCUUUUCACAAGGAGGUUCUAAGAGCUGAAUAAGUAUUGAGGAGCUCCAGCCCUACUCUAACCUUUAAAUCGUAACCAGACUUCCCUUGCCAAUGCCAGGGUGGAGCUCUAGAAGCAGUGGCUUUAGACCCGCUUGUUUCACUGUGCUCUGGUCUUCUCAACUCUCUUGUCUUAGGAUCUCACCAGAAACUGCCCUGGUUUUUUUUUUUCCUAUCUCUAAAUUCUGAUUCCUCACUUAACCUUUGGGCUUGGGGACCCUCUUGGGCUUCCCUAGCUUGGACCAUUUCAGGCUGUCAUUAGUGACUUGCACCUAUUGUCUUGUUCUUCCUACACCUGACCCACUUGCAGUUUCAUUUCCAGUUCCAGCUGCCCAGAAGGGAGGUGAGAUGCAGCAAAACAACACCCUCAAGUCUCUGGAAUCCAAACACGCCUGCCGCAGUUAACCAUCAUGUACACCUAGGGACAAGUCUGGGUUCAGCCAUGUGCUGUAGAUCUGUACUUUGUAGGAAUUGAGAGUAUGUAUGAAUUUGGGGUUGAUAGCUAGGUAGAUACUCAGUUAUUUCCGUAUCACUUGUUAUAGCCAUCUUCCCACCGCCAUGACCACCUAGACCCUUCCCCAGAACUCUCUGGACCUUCCUAAUCCUGCAACUUAAGAGGCAAUGCCUGGCCAACAGGGGGUGGGAGGAUGCCAGUGGAGCUUUGAUUAGGUACCGUGACCAACAUUCUUUCUAAUUGGUUGAUACCUGAGCCAUCUAGUCAUUAUAAAUCUUAAAUUUCAACCCUGUGCAAGUGUGCUGUAGUCUUGGUUCCCUUAUAAAAAAUGAAAAAGAAAAAUAGCCUGCCAUGUCAAAUAUUCUCAGCCUGCAGUUUCUUCUCUUCAAAGGCCACCCCAGAGGCAUGAAUGUUUGUUUGCAACAAGGAGAUGAUUUCAUAAAUAUUGCUCUUUGCCAAAUCCCCAGAGGCCAUUGAAGGUUGGGUGCUAAUAAAGCUUGAAUUCCUAUUAAGCA